CUACGAAGGGGGCUAGCGUUGCUCGGAAUUACUGGGCGUAAAGCGCACGUAGGCGGCUUUCUAAGUCGGGGGUGAAAUCCUGGAGCUCAACUCCAGAACUGCCUUCGAUACUGGCAAUCUUGAGGCUGGAAGAGGUUAGUGGAAUUCCCAGUGUAGAGGUGAAAUUCGUAGAUAUUGGGAAGAACACCAGUGGCGAAGGCGGCUCACUGGGACCGACACUGACGCUGAGGCGCGAAAGCGUGGGGAGCAAACAGG
rnacentral:rRNA from 1 species